rnacentral:rRNA from 1 species
UACGGAGGGUGCGAGCGUUGUCCGGAAUCACUGGGCGUAAAGGGCGCGUAGGCGGCGCGGGUAGUCAACGGUGAAAGCUUGGGGCUCAACCCCGAGUCGGCCGUCGAUACUCCCGUGCUUGAGCACUGUAGAGGCAGGUGGAAUUCCGGGUGUAGCGGUGGAAUGCGUAGAGAUCCGGAAGAACACCGGUGGCGAAGGCGGCCUGCUGGGCAGUAGCUGACGCUGAGGCGCGACAGCGUGGGGAUCAAACAGG